GACGGAGGAUGCAAGCGUUAUCCGGAAUGAUUGGGCGUAAAGCGUCCGCAGGUGGCAGUUCAAGUCUGCUGUCAAAGACCGGGGCUUAACUUCGGAAAGGCAGUGGAAACUGAACAGCUAGAGUAUGGUAGGGGCAAAGGGAAUUCCUGGUGUAGCGGUGAAAUGCGUAGAUAUCAGGAAGAACAUCGGUGGCGAAGGCGCUCUGCUGGACCAUAACUGACACUCAGGGACGAAAGCUAGGGGAGCGAAUGGG
rnacentral:rRNA from 1 species